UAACGCAGAGGAACUGGGGGAAACUUUCCAGUAACCUCAGGUACCCUAGAAUGGAUUAGGGAGAAGCGAUAGGGGAGGGAAGCCUGGGGUGGCCUUUCUCCAGCCUGAGAAAACUUUCUGUGUUGCCAAUCUGGCUUUUCUCUAAGGUUUAAAAUUGUUCAAAGGCUUAAGGACUACCUCACCCAGUCCUCCUUCUCCCCCAGAAGCCGAGGGCUGGAGUGUGCUAGCGGGUCGCAGGGCUCUCCUGGCCAGCCCGGAGUGCUGUGGCCAGGUUGGAACUUGGGGGACCUUUUUGCCUUUCUCUGCGGCCCUCCGUGGGCCCUGCAUUCCCUGCCCGCAGCUCAGGUGUAAGGUGCUUUCAGGACUCCAGCCCUGCCCAGCCCUCAAGCCUCCUUCCUCCCUCCCCCACCUGAUCCCUCCCACUGCGCACCUUCCCCCUUCUGGGCCCGGGAGCUCCCGCAUCUUUACAACUCAGCAGUACCUGACUUGACAGUGACUCGGUUCCUCUGCGUUUCCGGCCAGACCCCCCAGCUCCAGGAGGCAGGGGCAGGCUCUGCUUCGCUCCCAGAGUCCCCAGCUCCCAGCACGGCCUCCAGCUAAGAGCAUGAGAUUGAAGAAAUGCAUUGAGGAGCACAUGGAUGCUUGUAGUGAGAAAAUAGUGGGGAGUUAUCACAGUGGUCAAGGUGAAAAUCAAGUCUUUUCAAGAUGUAAAUCCCUGCGAAGUUUGCCAGAAUCUAGUCGACACCCCCCGUGUGCUUUCAUCCACUGCCGAUUCUUUGCCAUUUCGAACCUCAUGUAAUCUCUACACCCAGUGUGGGGCUUGAACUCACAACCCUGAGAUCAAGAGUUGCACACGCACUGACGGAGCCAGCCAGGUGCCAUUGUACGUCUUCUUUAGAGAAAUAUCUACUCAAAUCCUUUGUUCAUCUUAAAAUUAAAUUAUUUGGCUUAUUAUUGAGUUAUAAAUGUUCUUUAUAUAUUCUGGACACAAGAGAUGCAAUUUUUUUUUCCCAUUUGGUGGGAUAUCUUUUCACUUUCUUGAUGGUGUCCUUUAGAACAUAAGUUUUACAGUUUUUAUGAAGUCCACUUUAUUUCCUUGUCUUUGAUUCUUUUGCUCUUAAUGUCAUAUCUAAGAAACUGUUUCCUAACCUGAGGUCAUGAAGAUGUCCUCCUAUAUUUUCUUCUGAGAGUUCUUUUUUAGUUUUAGCCCUUACAUUUAGGUUUGUGACCCAUUCUGAGUUAAUUGCUCUGUACAGUAUGAGGUAAGGGUCAGACUUCAAUAUUUUGCAUGUGCAUCUCCAGUUGUCCUAGCCCAGUUGUCCUAGAACCAUUUCCUUUUUUUUUUUAAUAUUUUAUUUAUUUAUUUGAUAGAGACAGAAAGAGCACAAGCAGGGGGAGGGGCAGCAGGAGAGGGAGAACCAGAUACCCACUGAGCAGGGACCCCAACAUAGGGCAUGAUUUGGGGACUCCAGGCUCCUGACCUGAGCCAAAGACAGACGCUUAACCAACUGAGCCACCCAGGUGCCCUGGAUUAUUUUCUUAAUUUCAUUUUUGGAAUGUUCCUUGCUGGCAUAUGGAAAUACAACUGAUUUUCUUUUUUCUUUUUCUUUUUUUUUUUUUUAAGAUUUUAUUUAUUUAUUUGAGAGAGAGACAGUGAGAGAGAACAUGAGUGAGGAGAAGGUCAGAGGGAGAACAGACUUCCCAUGGAGCUGGGAGCCUGAUGUGGCACUCGAUCCUGGGACUCCAGGAUCAUGACCUGAGAUGAAUGCAGUCGUCCAACCAACUGAGCCACCCAGGCGCCCAAUACAACUGAUUUUCAUAUAUUGAUCUGGUA
ensembl:lincRNA